rnacentral:rRNA from 1 species
ACGCCGCGUGAGGGAGACGGCCUCCGGGUUGUAAACCUCUUUUAGUAGGGAAGAAGCGAAAGGACGGUACCUGCAGAAAAAGCACCGGCUAACUACGUGCCAGCAGCCGCGGUAAUACGUAGGGUGCAAGCGUUGUCCGGAAUUAUUGGGCGUAAAGAGCUCGUAGGCGGUUUGUCGCGUCUGCUGUGAAAUCCCGAGGCUCAACCUCGGGCUUGCAGUGGGUACGGGCAGACUAGAGUGCGGUAGGGGAGACUGGAAUUCCUGGUGUAGCGGUGGAAUGCGCAGAUAUUAGGAGGAACACCGAUGGCGAAGGCAGACCUCUGGGCCGUAACUGACGCUGAGGAGCGAAAGCAUGGGGAGCGAACAGGACUAGAUACCCUGGUAGUCCAUGCCGUAAACGUUGGGCGCUAGAUGUAGGGACCUUUCCACGGUUUCUGUGUCGUAGCUAACGCAUUAAGCGCCCCGCCUGGGGAGUACGGCCGCAAGGCUAAAACUCAAAGGAAUUGACGGGGGCCCGCACAAGCGGCGGAGUACGCGGAUUAAUUCGAUGCAACGCGAAGAACCUUACCAAGGCUUGACAUACACUCGGAAUCGGCCAGAGAUGGUCGCCCCUCUUGU